AUGAGCAUAUCAGCUGAAGAAGAGCACCCAAAGAAAGCUUUGGGUUGGGCAGCCAGGGACUCAUCUGCUCACCUCUCUCCUUUUACAUUCUCCAGAAGGGAAACAGGAGAGAGAUGAGGCCUUCAAGAUGCUCUAUUGUGGGAUAUGCCACUCUGAUUUUCAUAUGAUCAAGAAUGAAUGGGGUAACACUGUUCAUCCUUUUCUUCCUGGACAUGAGAUAGUUGGUGAAGUGACAGAGGUGGGGAGCAAAGUAACCAAGUUCAAAGUUGGAGAUAGGGUUGGAGUCGGGUGCAUUGUGGGAUCAUGUCAGUCCUGCCAUGAAUGCGCCAACGAUCUUGAAAACUACUGCUCAGGGGUGAUCCUUACCUCUGGGGCAAAGUACCAUGAUGGAACUAUUACUUAUGGAGGCUACUCUGAUUGGAUGGUGGCCGAUGAACACUUUGUGGUGCUCAUUCCAGAUAAUUUACCUCUCGAUGUAGCCGCUCCUCUUUUGUGUGCUGGGAUUUCAGUGUAUGGUCCACUGAGAUAUUAUGGACUCGAUAUACCAAGUUUGCAUAUUGGUGUGGUUGGAUUGGGUGGGUUAGGUCAUCUGGCUGUGAGAUUUGCCAAGGCUAUGGGGACUAAAGUCACUGUAAUCAGCACUUCUCCUAACAAGAAGAAGGAAGCUAUGGAAAUUCUUGGGGCUGAUUCCUUUUUGGUUAACCGAGACCAGGAUCAGCUUCAGGCUGCGAUGGGAACAAUGGAUAGUAUACUGGAUACGGUAUCUGCGAAACAUCCUCUGCUGCCAUUGCUUGAGCUGUUAAAGAAACAUGGAAAGCUUUUUCUUGUUGGAGCUCCAACGCAAGCACAUGAGCUACCGGCAUUUCCUUUGCUCGGUGGGAGGAAGCUAGUUGGUGGAAGUGUCAUUGGAGGGAUGAAAGAGACAGAAGAGAUGCUUGAUUUUGCAGCCAAACACAAUGUGAAGCCGAAAAUUGAAGUUGUGGCGAUUGAUUAUGUGAACACUACCAUACACGGCCUUGAAAAAACUAAUGUUAAAUAUCGAUUUGUCAUUGAUAUUGAGAACACAUUGAAGCCAUCGUCUAAUUAAUAUGGAAUUAAAGUUGUACGUUAUAAUAUAAUAUUAUUUGUAUUGCAUGCAUAUGAAUGGAUGUUGGAGAUAUUAAUCACUACUACAAGUUUUGUUGUAAUCAGAUUUGGGCUUGUUCAACUUUAAUGGAUAUA